rnacentral:rRNA from 1 species
AUGAACGCUAGCUACAGGCUUAACACAUGCAAGUCGAGGGGCAGCAUGAACUUAGCUUGCUAAGUUUGAUGGCGACCGGCGCACGGGUGAGUAACACGUAUCCAACCUGCCGAUGACUCGGGGAUAGCCUUUCGAAAGAAAGAUUAAUACCCGAUGGCAUAGUUCUUCCGCAUGGUAGAACUAUUAAAGAAUUUCGGUCAUCGAUGGGGAUGCGUUCCAUUAGGUUGUUGGCGGGGUAACGGCCCACCAAGCCUUCGAUGGAUAGGGGUUCUGAGAGGAAGGUCCCCCACAUUGGAACUGAGACACGGUCCAAACUCCUACGGGAGGCAGCAGUGAGGAAUAUUGGUCAAUGGACGAGAGUCUGAACCAGCCAAGUAGCGUGAAGGAUGACUGCCCUAUGGGUUGUAAACUUCUUUUAUACGGGAAUAAAGUGAGGCACGUGUGCCUUUUUGUAUGUACCGUAUGAAUAAGGAUCGGCUAACUCCGUGCCAGCAGCCGCGGUAAUACGGAGGAUCCGAGCGUUAUCCGGAUUUAUUGGGUUUAAAGGGAGCGUAGGCGGACGCUUAAGUCAGUUGUGAAAGUUUGCGGCUCAACCGUAAAAUUGCAGUUGAUACUGGGUGUCUUGAGUACAGUAGAGGCAGGCGGAAUUCGUGGUGUAGCGGUGAAAUGCUUAGAUAUCACGAAGAACUCCGAUUGCGAAGGCAGCUUGCUGGACUGUAACUGACGCUGAUGCUCGAAAGUGUGGGUAUCAAACAGGAUUAGAUACCCUGGUAGUCCACACAGUAAACGAUGAAUACUCGCUGUUUGCGAUAUACAGUAAGCGGCCAAGCGAAAGCGUUAAGUAUUCCACCUGGGGAGUACGCCGGCAACGGUGAAACUCAAAGGAAUUGACGGGGGCCCGCACAAGCGGUGGAGCAUGUGGUUUAAUUCGAAGCAACGCGAAGAACCUUACCAGGUCUUGACAUCCUACUAACGAGAUAGAGAUAUGUUAGGUGCCCUUCGGGGAAAGUAGAGACAGGUGGUGCAUGGUUGUCGUCAGCUCGUGCCGUGAGGUGUCGGCUUAAGUGCCAUAACGAGCGCAACCCUUAUCGAUAGUUACCAUCAGGUUAUGCUGGGGACUCUGUCGAGACUGCCGUCGUAAGAUGUGAGGAAGGUGGGGAUGACGUCAAAUCAGCACGGCCCUUACGUCCGGGGCUACACACGUGUUACAAUGGGGGGUACAGAAGGCAGCUACACGGCGACGUGAUGCUAAUCCCGAAAGCCUCUCUCAGUUCGGAUUGGAGUCUGCAACCCGACUCCAUGAAGCUGGAUUCGCUAGUAAUCGCGCAUCAGCCACGGCGCGGUGAAUACGUUCCCGGGCCUUGUACACACCGCCCGUCAAGCCAUGAAAGCCGGGGGUACCUGAAGUGCGUAACCGCGAGGAGCGCCCUAGGGUAAAACUGGUGAUUGGGGCU